AUUGAACGCUGGCGGAAUGCUUUACACAUGCAAGUCGAGCGGCAGCGCGGUCUUCGGACUGGCGGCGAGCGGCGAACGGGUGAGUAAUACAUCGGAACAUGCCCAGUCGUGGGGGAUAACACUUCGAAAGAAGUGCUAAUACCGCAUACGUCCUGAGGGAGAAAGCGGGGGAUCGCAAGACCUCGCGCGAUUGGAGUGGCCGAUGUCAGAUGAGCUAGUUGGUGGGGUAAAGGCCUACCAAGGCAACGAUCUGUAGCUGGUCGGAGAGGAUGAUCAGCACCACUGGGACUGAGACACGGCCCAGACUCCUACGGGAGGCAGCAGUGGGGAAUUUGGGACAAUGGGGGCAACCCUGAUCCAGCCAUUCCGCGUGAGUGAAGAAGGCCUUCGGGUUGUAAAGCUCUUUCGGCAGGAACGAAACGGCGAGCUCUAACAUAGCUCGCUAAUGACGGUACCUGAAGAAGAAGCACCGGCUAACUACGUGCCAGCAGCCGCCGUAAAAC
rnacentral:rRNA from 1 species